UAAUAGUGUCUUUUCGGUCUA
ensembl:piRNA 21ur-4380 ncRNA